UACGUAGGGUCCAAGCGUUAUCCGGAAUCACUGGGCGUAAAGCGUGCGUAGGUGGCGUGUUAAGUGUGAUGUUAAAUCGUGGGGCUCAACCCUGUCGGUGCAUCACAUACUGGCAUGCUAGAGGGAAGCAGAGGCAAGUGGAAUUUGUAGUGUAGCAGUGAAAUGCGUAGAGAUCGGGAGGAACAUCAGUUGCGAAGGCGGCUCUCUGGACCAGUACUGACGCUGAGGCACGAUAGCGUGGGGAGCAAACGGG
rnacentral:rRNA from 1 species